rnacentral:rRNA from 1 species
AUUGAACGCUGGCGGCAGGCCUAACACAUGCAAGUCGAGCGGAUGAAGGGAGCUUGCUCCUGGAUUCAGCGGCGGACGGGUGAGUAAUGCCUAGGAAUCUGCCUGGUAGUGGGGGAUAACGUCCGGAAACGGGCGCUAAUACCGCAUACGUCCUGAGGGAGAAAGCGGGGGAUCUUCGGACCUCACGCUAUCAGAUGAGCCUAGGUCGGAUUAGCUAGUUGGUGGGGUAAAGGCCUACCAAGGCGACGAUCCGUAACUGGUCUGAGAGGAUGAUCAGUCACACUGGAACUGAGACACGGUCCAGACUCCUACGGGAGGCAGCAGUGGGGAAUAUUGGGCAAUGGGCGAAAGCCUGAUCCAGCCAUGCCGCGUGUGUGAAGAAGGUCUUCGGAUUGUAAAGCACUUUAAGUUGGGAGGAAGGGCAGUAAGUUAAUACCUUGCUGUUUUGACGUUACCAACAGAAUAAGCACCGGCUAACUUCGUG